ACAAAUGUUGGAGACAGUGGAUUCAUGGUGAUAAGAGGGAAUAGUAUUGUCUACAAGUCCCAAAUGCAACAACGUGGAUUCAAUUGCCCUUUCCAACUAGGGAAUCACCUUAAGAGUGACAUAUCCAGUUCUACUUAUAAAAUAUAGUCCAGGCCGUGAAGGAAAUGACUGAUUUCAUUGGCAUGUACCCAUAUGGGGCGGCUUGGGCGAUUGCUGAGAUGGCAAAGUUGAUUUCCAAAGACAAAUCUCUUAUCACACCCUUCUCACUUGGAGCAAAGAUGGCUGGUUAUAAGCAUUUUGGGGGAAAAAUUGAUGACAUUACUGUUAUUGUUGCUUAUGUUGUCUCAUCAUCGUGUGAUUAAUUUUCAAAUUGAAUCAGCUUGUGUAUUUGAUUGUCUUUUUACCUACUUGUUAAGGGGCACCUUUCUCUUCUUUAGGCAUUUCUAAAUUAAGGGUUUAGAGA